AACGAACGCUGGCGGCAUGCCUAACACAUGCAAGUCGAACGAGACCUUCGGGUCUAGUGGCGCACGGGUGCGUAACGCGUGGGAACCUGCCCUUAGGUUCGGAAUAACUCCCCGAAAGGGGUGCUAAUACCGGAUAAUGUCUUCGGACCAAAGAUUUAUCGCCUUUGGAUGGGCCCGCGUUGGAUUAGCUAGUUGGUAGGGUAAAAGCCUACCAAGGCGACGAUCCAUGGCUGGUCUGAGAGGAUGAUCAGCCACACUGGGACUGAGACACGGCCCAGACUCCUACGGGAGGCAGCAGUGGGGAAUAUUGGACAAUGGGCGAAAGCCUGAUCCAGCAAUGCCGCGUGAGUGAUGAAGGCCUUAGGGUUGUAAAGCUCUUUUACCCGGGAUGAUAAUGACAGUACCGGGAGAAUAAGCUCCGGCUAACUCCGU
rnacentral:rRNA from 1 species